GAGUUUGAUCCUGGCUCAGAACGAACGCUGGCGGCAGGCUUAACACAUGCAAGUCGAGCGCCCCGCAAGGGGAGCGGCAGACGGGUGAGUAACGCGUGGGAAUCUACCCUUUUCUACGGAAUAACGCAGGGAAACUUGUGCUAAUACCGUAUAGGCCCUUCGGGGAAAGGAUUUAUCGGGAAGGAUGAGCCCGCGUUGGAUUAGCUAGUUGGUGGGGUAAAGGCCUACCAAGGCGACGAUCCAUAGCUGGUCUGAGAGGAUGAUCAGCCACAUUGGGACUGAGACACGGCCCAAACUCCUACGGGAGGCAGCAGUGGGGAAUAUUGGACAAUGGGCGCAAGCCUGAUCCAGCCAUGCCGCGUGAGUGAUGAAGGCCCUAGGGUUGUAAAGCUCUUUCACCGGUGAAGAUAAUGACGGUAACCGGAGAAGAAGCCCCGGCUAACUUCGUGCCAGCAGCCGCGGUAAC
rnacentral:rRNA from 1 species